AUCGGCCAAACUGGAAAUGAGACACGGUCCAGACUCCUACGGGAGGCAGCAGUAGGGAAUCUUCCGCAAUGGGCGAAAGCCUGACGGAGCAACGCCGCGUGAGUGAUGAAGGUCUUCGGAUCGUAAAACUCUGUUAUUAGGGAAGAACAUAUGUGUAAGUAACUGUGCACAUCUUGACGGUACCUAAUCAGAAAGCCACGGCUAACUACGUGCCAGCAGCCGCGGGAAUACGUAGGGGGCAAGCGGUAUCCGGAAUUAUUGGGCGUAAAGCGCGCGUAGGCGGUGGUUUAGGUGUGAUGUGAAA
rnacentral:rRNA from 1 species